AGGGAGCAGGUGCAGGUUCAGGAAGCAAGGAAGACCUCCUGUGGGGGGUUCUGGAGACUCAGCCUUCUCUGUCCAGCUCAGGCCUCUGACCUAUGUCUUCCUGAUUCCCCAUUCCUAGGAGACACCGAGACGAAUUCGUAUGACAGUGACAGUAACAAUAGCGGCCUGUCGACACAGUAUGUUUAUAUCCUCCUUGUGGUCGCUGGGGCCUUUCUCAUUUGUUUAUUCCUCCUGGUCCUCUUCUUCCUCUUUCGUCGGCAUCGGAAAAAACUUGGGCUCCCCAGCAGCAGAGGCAAGGAGCAGAGGCCCCAGGAGAGGCUCAGCCCGGCUGUUGACAUCCUAGGGAGGACACCAGGUAAAGAUGAGGAGAGAGGACAGGCCUGGGAGAGGGGAAGUGAGGCCUCACAGCCAUUCAGGAUGCAAUGGGAGGAGGGAGAAUGUUUGAGCACAUUCUGGGGUGUCCGAGAUGGGAUGUGGGCUGAAAUCUGAAGCUGUGAGAUUUCAGGCAAAUUUGCCUCCUGAGGUCCACCCCAGAGAACUGACCACUUGCCCUCUCCCCUCCAGAUCUGGCCAUCGUCGAUAGUCCUCCUAAGAAGGGCAGGGAAAUGCACACCUCGGUGAGUCCUUGUCUGAGUUACCUAUUGCCGUGUAAUAAAACUACCCCAAAUCUAGCA
rnacentral:lncRNA from 1 species